rnacentral:misc_RNA from 1 species
UCAGUUUUUAUGUAUUUUCCUCAUGGCUCAGAAAACCCAUGAUUUUUCACCGAAAAAAAUGACUAAUCUUUGCCGGAAAAUAGUUCAAGUCAAGAUUAGGUGGAAGAUAUUUGAUAAAGUUUCAAUCUUUAGGGAGUUUUUUCGUUUUAUUUGGGAAAGGAUUAUUGUUUGUUCAACUGGACGGAAACCGGUGAGGUACCGGCGUUUGUCUCGAAGAAGUUCAUCGUCUCCGGUGGCUAUGGAGGAAGUUGAAGGGUAUGGGGUAGGUGGUGGGGAAGAUGAUCCUUUAACUGCAACUUGUAGUGGGUAUGAUAGUGAUUCAGAUUUAGUUACUUUAAAGAUCAGUAUUUUUGGUGAUUGUCAGAUUGGUAAAACAAGUUUUGUGAUUAAGUAUGUAGGUGAUGAACAAGAAAAGAGGUGCUUGCAGACGAAGGGAUUGAACUUAAUGGAUAAAACAUUAGUUGUACGAGGUGCACGAAUUGCAUUUAGAAUAUGGGAUGUAGGAGGUGAUCAUAGCUCAUUUGAUCAGAUUCCAAUAGCUUGUAAAGAUUCUGUUGCCAUUCUCUUUAUGUUCGAUCUCACUAGCCGGAGUACAUUGAACAAUGUGAUAAGUUGGUAUACUGAAGCAAGAAAAUGGAAUCAGACUGCUAUUCCAAUACUAAUUGGGACCAAAUUUGAUGAUUUUGUUCAGCUUCCGCCAGACAUUCAAUGGUCUGUGGUGACACAGGCAAGGACAUAUGCAAAGGCAAUGAAAGCAACACUUUUUUUCUCAAGUUCAACACAUAACAUCAAUGUGAAUAAGAUCUUUAAGUUCAUAAUGGCAAAGCUCUUUAACUUGCCUUGGUCUGUCAAGAGGAAUCUUACUAUUGGUGAACCAAUUAUUGACUUCUAGUUCUUCUUACAUCAUGUUGUAUAUACAAGGGGGAGUAGUGAAUUCAUUAACAUGUAAUAUUUGCAUUUCCUUUUCACCUUUGUUAUUUGAAACGUAGCGG